ACUUCUAACCAUUGAGCCAUCUGGAGGCCUGCUGGGACCUGGCCAUUAGUGUACAAAACAUUGAAGCAAUGGUGAAGAUGUGGGAGAGCAAGUGAUCAAAGCUGAGAAGCAAGACAAAGUGACAGGAACUAACAUCUAUUGAGCAUCUAUUAUCACCUGGAGAGCUGUACAUGCACAAGAAAUAACUUUUGGGAGAUCCCAGUGAGUAGCCACCAAGUUCCUUAGAUUGUAUCUUCUAAAUCUCUGAGUCCAUCAUACCCUUCAUUGCCACCACCACUGCUUUAUUGAAUCCCCAUCAUUUCUUCCCUGGAUUAUGCCUUUACAUUUCCCCUGCCUUCUCUUCAGCUCCCUUUCUCCACAUUGCUUUCUGGCAGAUGUUGUAAUCUGGUGUUACCUGCCUAGUGCUUGGUAGCUUUCCCUUGUGCCUCCAGGCCCAUCCUUCUCCACUCUGUCUUCUUCUUCCAAAGCUCUAUUGCCCUGUGGCUUCUGGCUGGGUUUGGUCAAUGGGGAGCAUUGGUGAGAUGGGAAAGAUGGAGUGGUGAGGGGGCAUUUACCUCCCUAACGUUUUCCCUGGGGGUCACUGCUGGCUGGCUGCAUCUCUCAACUGAUGCUGACAGCUUCCAUCAGAUGCCUUCUUCACAUGUCUUUCUCCUCCAAGCUUUAGUACCCAUUUCUUUCUUUACCCUUCCAAACCUAAGGAUGGCAACAGUGCCCUCUGUGGUUUCCCUACCUUGCCCACACCUUUAAACAUAAUUCCUUUAUAAACUCUUCUUGGUGUGGUGGCUCACGCCUGUACAAAGUGCUAGCACUUUGGGAGGCCGAGGUGGGUGGAUUGCCUGAGCUCAGGAGUUCGAGACGGGCCUGGGGAACACGGUGAAAGCCCAUCUCUACUAAAAAUAUAAAAAAUUAGCUGGGUGUGGCAGCGUGCACCUGUAAUCCCAGCUACUCGGGAGGCUGAGGCAGGAGAAUCGCUUGAACCUGGGAGGCGGAGAUUGUAGUGAGCCGAGAUUACACCAUUGCACUCCAGCCUGGGCGACAGUCUCAAAAGAACCAAAACCAAACAAACAAAACGUGUCUUAAAUUACCGAUUUCAAUGUGCCAUAUGUUUCUUGACUGGACCAUGACUAAUACAUCCAUGCUUAAAGCAUGUCACUGGCUCCAUCUUGCCCAGAGGGCAAAUGCAUUAGCCCAUGCUGGGGAACAAGGCUCCGGCCUUGCUUCCAGACUUAGUAUUUCCUGACACACCCACGGUACUCCUGCAUGCUGAUGGACUUUUGGUUUUCUGUACUUGCUGUGGAGAUUUUAUAAGUGAUGUUUUCUUUCCUGAUUUAUCUGCCUGGGCCUUUUCCAUCCUUCAAGAUUCUGCUGGAAGAUUACCUGUUGCCUGUUGUUUUGUUGACCUCCCUAGGCAGGGCUAGCUGCUUCCUCCUCUGUGCUCCCACAUCGAUUAUAUAAGUCCAUUACAGUGCUAUUCACUGCGACAAGUGUUUGUUUGUGUGUCCGUUUUCCUUCUGGUCGCUGAACCCUUGACUGUAUACCUGACUAUAUCCCAUUUUUCUUUGUUCUCCAAGUGCCUGUUGUUUUCUCAGGUAGGAUUAAUAAAUAUUUUGUGAAUGAAUACACUUGUUUUAUGGACUACAUUAUUUCUCACCUUUUCAUAUCAACAAGAUUGCAGCAAUAAAAUGUCAUCUUCAUCUAUGCAACUGUGCAUGCUGUUUUGUGUCUUGAUGAGUAUUAUUUUAUCCUUAUGACAACUCAGAGAGAUUGAGUAGAUGGGAAGCAAAUUUUCCCGUCAUGUAGAUUGUUACUGGCAGAACUUUGCCAAGAAUCUAGACCUUUUGAUACUGAUUUGCUCUUCUUUUCAUGAGACCAUUUUGCCUCCUGAGAUGCCAGAUUUUAAAAAAACAACAGAGCCCAGGAGCAGGCUAACCUAAUGAGCACCACCCCAAGGACCACUUCAGAUGGAAGGCAACUCAGGCUGCCAUAGAGAUAACUCCAAGUAAUUAUAAACACAUGUCAGGAAGACCGAAGAGAGAGAGCUUGUUGUCAGAAGGGUUCUAACGAACAGAGCUGGUCACAUUACCGGAACCUAACUUGCUGUUGCGAGAGAAUUAUGUCUGAUGUAGGCUCCAGGGACUAUCAACAGAACAUAACACUUGGAUUAAAAUUAGGAAUGAACAUCAAAAAGAAGUAUUCCGGGACCCUGGGGAAGGGCUGGCAACCCAUGGAGGAAGGAGUGGAUUGUUUCUAUAAUUCAAGCCAUAUCCCAUGAGAAAGUAAUAUAUAGGCAGCAGCACAAAUAAAGAUAAAUUCAAGAGCAUUUGGGGCAAUUUCUGUUAUGUCAAUAGAAGGCUUAUAGGUUCUUCCCUCUGCCUUAGGGGAAGGAGCAUUAAGUUGAAAGCGCUGCCAAUACAAUGUAGCUCACUUGUGAGGAACAUUCACAGAGAUAACUAUCAGAGAAUUUCAGGAGGAGAAGGGGUCUUAAAGGUCAUCUGAUGCUAGGCCUUGUACUUUUGGAUCAUUUCCAAGGGGAAGGAAAAAAAUGAGACCUGAAUACUCCAAUUGAGUGAGGGUCAAGACAGACCAAGUUUUGGAUGUGGCACAUAGGUAUUACCUGACAUGAUCUUUGCAAUGCUGUUCGGUCUCAGCAUGUCUGUGCAAUCCCUGUGGGUCUGUGUCAUGACCUCAUAAGCCAUCAUGACAGACCCUCGAUGAACUGGAACACCCGUUACUUGCUUGAAUUUCUCCCUAUGUUCUCCAGUGAAGACAGAGGCGAGUUAAAAAGAAAUAAAGGCAAUAAAGAAAAUACAUUUCCAUGUAUCCAGCUUUAUCUUUUAAACCUUUGAUGUUGGUGUUCUCAGUCUUAAUAUGUUUCUGUCUUUUGGCCUGAUGUGUUUCUUUUUGGGAAUUUAUCUCAGUGAUACAAUAAGAAUUGUAGACGAAGAUCUGGAAACAAAUGACAUGAAGAUGCUUAUGAUAUAAACCAGAAAAGCAACAUACAAAGUAUAUGGUAAAAUCUCUGCCUGAUUGUUUGAAAACCUUUCUCUCUCUGCCUAGAUAUGUAUCUCUAUAAAUAGAAAAAUACCAGAAAGGAAACCAUCAAAAUGUUAAUUAUGGUUAUAUUGGGGUGGUGGGAUUAUAGGUGUAUUUUAUUUUCUCCUUGUACUUAAUUGUACUCCCAAACUUUAUGAAUAUAAAUUAGAAAAUAACUUUAUAAACAGUAUUGAAAAUCCUUCUCUGACUUUGCCCUGAUUUCCAAGACAAAAUCCAGACCCUUCAGCUCAGCAAGUGGAGUUCUUUUGGAUCUGGCUGCCCACUCUCCUGUCCCAUCUCUCCCCACUCCCCUCCCCUUGCCCUGCCUUGCAGCCAUGCUGAAGCUCUCGUAGUUUUCCUAAAGCCGGAUGCUCCUUGAAGGUCCCAUUGGUGUUUUUUCUGCCUAGGACACUUUGCUCUCCUUGUCAGUAUUUGCACACUCCAGAACACCCCGGCUGCUCCCGUUUUAGAAAGUCUCCUGUAGUGGAUGCUGUGGUUUGCUGUCCCAUCUCCUAUUCAGGCGCAGGGUGCCCUUUUCCCCAGUGCUAGGGUGCUGCCUGCUGCAGGCUCAUACAUGGAUCCCUCUCCCAGAAUUGCCCUUGGUCCAAGGCAGCAGCUGUGUCUGAGGUUAUGACCCUCCCCCUUGUGGGACUGCCCACAUCUAAGGAGUAGUGAAUGCAGGGUACCACGAUCUGACUCCCUUGUCUCAAUUCGUGUCCCCUCAGAAAGGUUAUUCCAGCUUCAGAGCUGACUUCCUGUGGGAUCCGCCGAGGCCUCUUUGGCGACCGCAUCUCUCACUCUGCCCAGUCCUGUCUCCUUCACUUUCUUACAAGUGAGCACUGAUCCAGGACACCUCUUGCACACAAAUCUGUCUCUGUUUCUUGGGGAAUGUAACUGAGUACCCGUCCUAUGACCCCUUACCUCAGUCCCUAAGUUAGAGUCCCAUCCUCUGGGCUAUUGAUUGCUCUUUGUUAAUUUCUCCUUAAGCACUUCUCCCAUUGCACUCUUGCAGAGCAUGGUCCUAGCGUCUCCCCCAGUGACCGGGAUCUCCCUGAGGGUAGGAGGCAGUACGUUGUUUUUCUUUGUGUCUGCAGCACCAUUCCCAGUGCUUGGCUUUUGGUACAUGGUGAAUGAGCAAGUGUGAAAGGGGAUCACAUAGUAGGCAGAAUAGCAUGGGGAAGAGGGUGAACUACGGAUUUGAAUGAGAGCGUUAUUGACAAAAAUGAAAUAAUACAGGCUCUUCUAUAUCUUCCAAUUGAAGGGACAUUCCUAUUGAACCUUUCUAUGUAUACACCCAUAAACAAGGCUCUCACUUUGAGGUCCCAUGCAGUUCCUGUCACUUUAAGCACCUUGGGAAAUUCCAGUGAGUUGAAAGAAUUCUGAACUUUAUUUUUCCUCUUGUCCUGUAUUCGUAAGACUGGUCUUCCUUUGCUCUCCCCUUCCUUCAUUCUUUCUUCUCCUCCCCUUCCUUCAUUCUUUGUUCUCCCCUUCCUUUUUUUCUCACCAUUUUUUCCAUCUAGGUCGAGGACUAGUUUGUUGCCCAGGGAAUUACAAAAAAGUGGUGGCCAAGGACUAAUCCUCUAGUAGUCUUAUUCUUCAAGAAGUUGAAGAAAAAGUCGAGUGCCCUUUCAAUUCCUACCCUUCUCUGAUUUAUCACUCUGAAAGUAAUGAUGUUCAGCUUUCUUGCUCUAGAGGAAUGAUUCAGGUAAAGCCCCACUGAGGGCAAAAGGUAAUCUGUACCAGGUUUCAGAGUUACCAGUGUAAUCAAUCAAAAUGUGUCAUUAAGCCCCUGGCUGCGUGUUCUCCAAAUGGAGUCAGUAACACCCAACCCUUAAGCUUAUGGGUUAGGGGGACCUCCCCACCCCUCCCUUCUGUUUCACUUUGAUGGGGUCCACCUUGGAUAAACUCUCUGGUGCUAAAAAAGUACUGAGAAGUGACAGAAAGUUGCUUCACAUCUACUCUAUUUUUCAAGAAAAACAUUACUAUUUUCUCUGAAUAUGGAACCACCCCAGUGCUUCUGUGAAGUGGAGCUGGGUUAUUCAGAGGCCCUUUCUGGUUUUAUCUUGUCUUUCACACACUUGGCAGGACAGGUAUUCUGAUCUCCAGUGCAUAACUGAGGACAGAGCACAUGGAGGGCAAGAGACCUUGAAUAACUAUAGAGCUGCUUAACUCAGCACUGGGAUAGGAAUUCAGGACUCCCUACUCAAGGUCUGUGCCUCUAGCACUAGUCCACACCAAGGGCAUUUCCUUAACGGUGGAGAUUUUCUUCAUGAGUACAUUCAUUCCCCUCAGACUUAAAAGUUGUCACAAAUCCCAAAACUAUACAAAGCAUGAGCAUGGCAUUGGUGGCUGUGUGUGUGUGUGUGUGUGUGUGUGUGUGUGUGUGUGUGUAUGUGCGCUGGGGGCAAGGGACCUCAACCCCACAGAGACUUAGCCUUACCUGUUGUAGGUAGCUGAUGGGAACAUUUGUUCCCUGCUGUCCUUGUUUCUAUUGGGGACAUGUUUCCAUUGAGUAAAUCCCCUGGCCGCCUGCAUCCUCUCUCUCCUUCACUUCAUUGGAGGAAGAGGAACUUCAGUCGGCCUGGGAGAAGCAAUGGAAGAUGUACGCCUCACCUAUUCCUUUCUCUCUGGGAAGAGCCUGAGGAAAGUAAACAUCCUCUGCCCCUCCAAGCCUUAACUUUUAAGUGGUAAAUCUCCAUGUUGCAAAGUUUCUGUUUGCCAUCAGUGGUACAAUAUUAACAAGCCCAAGGACCUGAAAUGAUAGCCACCAACCAAGACUUUGUCAACUUAAAAGAAUGGUGAUAUUUUCCCUCUAUCUGCCUGAUUCCUAUUCCUCUUAAUUGGCUCAGAAGUUGGGCAGGAAAGAGGGGUCCUAUUUAUUGGGUACCCUAAAACCCCAACAUAAGGGAAGUCUUUUCUGGUUUCCUCUGGGAAACCUUAGGUUCAACAGUGGCCUGUUGUGGAUAAAGAUCUACUCUUGGGGGUGACCAAGGAUUUGGGGGCAGGAAUUUGGAAUGAGAACCCAGGCAAGCUGAACUAAAAUGCUAACUGGGCAAGGGUGUCCUGUCUCCAGUUUGAUGACCAAGGGAAGGUCCUGACUCACUUGGGGCUUAUGAAGGGUAACAAGGGGGACUUCUCAGUAAAUCAACCACUCACUCUUCAUGUGACAGUAAAAGCAGUCAUGGAACAAACAAACUUCCUGCCAAGGCUCCUUCUUGUUACCGCAAACUUUCAAGUGUGAGUAACCAUGUGAGCAAGGGGGAACCCAAUAAUUACUAGAAUAAUUCCUUUGUGUGUGCUGAAGUUCAGUUCAUAUCUGACCUCCCCAGCCAAAAGUAAUCUCUCUUCUCCAGACUUCUACGUCCAGUAUCUGGAACUUGCAUUUGAGACUUACUAUUCCUGACUGGCUUUAUUAUUUGCUUAGUCAUUGUGGUGGUGGUUCUUGCUUUUUGUGCAUUUUAUCUCCAGUCCCAAAGAUUUUAAGUUUAUUAGGCAUAAGGACCAUGUCGUAUAUCUCCUUGUAUUUUCCCUGACCAUUCAAGGGCCUAGCAUAACAUUUACUUGCAUUUGGAAGUGUGGAAAUAAAUGAAGACCAACCAAAUAAGAAUAAGCACAGGCUGUUUAUUCAGAGCUACUAUCGUUUGUGUUUUGGCAGAGACUCAAAUGCGGGCAGAGGAGUGGGAAAACUUCAUAGUAGAAAAAAGGGAGGCUCCAGGUAUGUGCUGAUUGGAGGCUGUUGGUGUGGGAAGCUGGAGGUGGUUCACUAGAAGCACAGAUGCCUAUGUGAUUGCUUAGGGUGCAUAUUUGCCUUUCUCUGGUUUGUCCUAAGUUGGAAGCAGGGACAAAAAUCAGGGAGGCUGUCCAUUGUCAGUCAAGUUCUGGCCAUUUGGAGCUGAUUCUUACAGGGGUUAUUGUUUGGCUUCCUAACUUGUUGAUAGAGAUAGUGGUUAGACUUCUAGAGGUCUGGCUGAUGAUAGCAGGCUGGCUUCCUGGGCCGAUUGCUGUUGCUAAUGGGUUGGUGUCCUGGGCUGGCUGCUGUAGAUUGUAGGUUGGAGUUGUUUUUAAUUAUGGCUUGGCCGUUGUCCAUUUGUAUAUUCAGUCUCUUGGUGAGUAUCAAUAAAUCUUGCUUGAUUAACUAAUAGAUUGUUCUGACUAUGGGUUGAAGCAUGCCCUUUGAAUUAAUAUUAUUUCUCUUUCUCCUCACUGCUUGAUCAACUGUUUGACAGGUAUUCUCCAUUUGAUUUUUAUAACAUGACCUUAGAAAUAGCGCAAGGGAGAAGGAAACUUGCUCCAUUUUUGCUCCUUUUCUUAAUUACCUCUUUACAGACCCUAUCUCCGAAUAGAGUUACUGUCUGAGGCUCUAAGGGUUAGGGCUUCAACAUUUGAAGUUUGGGAGGCAGUGGGGCAUAAUUCCCCAUCAUACUCUUUGAGGGCCUCAUUUAACUGAAUAUGCUCAGAUCUAUCUCAACUCAAACACACUCUGAGCCUUUGGCCUGGAUGCAUCCAAAAGAAGUGAGUAGAAUGCUCAGGUGGCCUGUGACUUGCCGUGAUUCACUGACCAAACACGAAGGAAGUGGAGCAGAUGGUCACGCCAUUAGAAGGCAGUCUCUCCUCAGGGAAGUCAGUCUCGUGGAUUCCAGUGGCCCUGAGAAUCACGAUGCUAGUCUUCAAAAGAAUAAGAAAGACCGAUAAAAGAUUGCUUCUGCUCUAAGUUGAAAGUGGCUUAUGGCAGCUUCUCUCACCCCAUUGACCAAGCCCAUUCGCUAAAGCCCGUAACAAAAGGAUUUUCCCCCCUAACAUUUAGAAAUGGCAAAAAGCAAAGAGAUGAAUCAUCAAAUAGGCAGAACGCUCUUCCUACACCUCUUUUACCUGAGCAAAAACAUGACUUCCUGAAAGAGUACAAAGAGAGAAAAUUGGUAGGAGAUGACUAACAGGGGUGACUGUGCUGAUGCAAAGAAUGUCAGGACAGCAUGAACUUUAGAAACAGGCAAGGUUAGAUGCUGAAACGGAGGCGGGUGAGCACACUCCCUCAGGAAAUCAAACUCAGGGAGAACCGUGAAUAAAAGGCUCCCCAGAAAAGACGUGAGUGUGUAACUUACUUGACAUUUCCACCAACGUGCAGCAGUGGGUUGGGUAUGAUGGUUCUAAAUACCCAGUGACACAUAUUUACAAAAGAACUGUGUGGUUUUAUUUUAAAUGACAAUGUCUUCUUAAUCACCCCUCCGUACUGCCUGUCUGCAGCACUGCGAGUCACCAGGGUUCUGUCUUGGAGGAGCACUGUUUGGUCAUGAGUCGUGUGCUGGCAAUGUCUGGGAAGUGAGGGAGGGUCAGCAGCUCAUGACCGUAGGCUCCAGGGAGAGCAGGAAGCUCUGCAGGAUGCAUGUGUUAUGGGUUGAACUGUGUCCCCUAGAAAGAUAUGUUGAAGUCCCCACCCCCAGUACCUUGAAAUGUGACCUCAUUUGGAAAUAAGGUCAUUACAGAUGUAAUCAGUUAAGACAAGGUCAUAUCGGGGUAGGAUGGGCCCUUAAUCCAAUAUAACUGGUGUCCUUAAAAGGGAACUUUAGACACUGAGACAGAGACAUACAGAAAGAAUGCCAUAUGAUAACAGAGGCAGAGAUUGGAAUUGUGAACCCCAAACAUCUGAGACAGGUCUCAGUCAAUUUAGGGUUUAUUUUGCCAAAGUGAAGGACUUGCCUGUGACACAGCCUCAGGAGAUCCUGACAACAUGUGCCCAGUGUGGUCGGAGUACAGCCUGGUUUUGUACAUUUUAGGGAGACAUGAGACAUCAAUCAAUAUAUGUAAGAUGUACAUUGGUUUGGUCUGGAAGGGCUGGACAACUCAAAGCAGGGAGGGGGCUUUCAGGUCAUAGGUAGAUAAGAGACAAACGGUUGCAUUCUUUUGAGUUUCUGAUUAGCCUUCCCAAAGGAGGCAAGGAAAUUCCUUGUGGACAAAUUGUAAGGGAGGUACGUAGCUCUUUUAUCUUAGUAGCUAUCUUUUAAAGAAUAGAAUGGGAGGCAGUUUUGCUCUAAGAAGUUUCCAGCUUGACUUUUCCCUUUGGCUUAGUGAUUUUGGGGUCCUGAGAUUUAUUUUCCUUUCACAGAAUAAUGCAUUUGUAGUCCAAACGUUGCCAGCAGACACCAGAAGCUAGAAGAAACAAAGAAAGGGUUCUCUUCUACAGAUUUCUGAGGGAGCAAGUGCCUGACACCUUGAUGUCAGAACUCAAGCCUCCAAAAGUGUGAGAACAUAAACGGUUGUUGUUUUAAGCCCCCCAAUCUAUGUUACUUUGUAAAGGCAGCCCUAGCAAAGGAAUACAGCCCAUCAUACAUUGUGGUGAGCCCAGAGCUUCACACCACACAUUUCCUGCUCUGUGCCUUCUAAAGUAUAUUUUUCAAAGGUCUUCACUUUCAGAAACUUGACCUUUUUCCAAUUUUAAAAAAUGAUACAAGACCUUAUUGUCUUCUACCCUCUUACCUCAACAUAUUGCACAAAGGCUGCACAGAUCAGAGCUGGAAACUGUCUACCUGUUUUCCAUGGUGACAUCCUCUGUAGUCUCAGCUUAUCACUGACGACCUUGGGCGAGUCUUGAGGCCUCCGUCUCUUCAUUUGUAAAAUGAGAGACUGGAACUAAAGCAACUUUAGCCUGAAACAUUGGUAACCAUGACUCCUCUUUUUCUUCACUGGUUUUUUAGACUCCAAGAUGAUGAUUAAGGUGGGCCCUAAUCCAAUCUGACUGGUGUCCUCGUAAGAAGAGAAGAUGAGGACACAGACAAACACAGAGGGAAGACUGUGUGAGGGCACAGGGAGAAAAUGACUCUCUACAACAAGGAGAGAGGCUUCAGAAUAAACCAAUUCUGCUGACACCUCUCAAACUUCUAGCCUCCAGAAGAGUGAGGAAAUCCAUUUCUGUUGUAUAAGCCACCCAGUUUGUGGUGUUUAUUAUGGCGGCCCUAGCAAGGGAAUACAGAGGGAGACAGGUUCAGACAUGUAAAGCGAGCCUUUAAAAGACACCACGUGCACCAGUGGAGCCCCAGGCCCAGGCCCCACAGACCUUGCCUCCUGGUCCAGUCCUUACUUUAUCUCAGGAUGUGACAUUGCGUUUCUUAUGGAAAAGAUCUCACUAACCUACUUCAUUUAGGAAUGCAAUUUAAUUGGCAACUCAACGGUGAUGUCGCUUCUUUUGCCAUUUUUCUGCAACACCAAAGGAAAAAAUUUUAAGCCAGCUUUUUUUAGCUGCAAAGAUGACAAAUGUUAUCAACAAUAUCCAACCAGAGUAUAUUUUCAUCCCUUUUCAUCCCGUCACGAUAAGCCAGAAGUAUUUGUUGCCAGAAAUGGAAAACAGCUUGUUCAUCAGCCAGAUGAUCGCAGUGCUCAGAAGUUCCACUCGUUUGCCAUGUGUGAAAAGUUAAGAAUUGAAAACAGACAGGCUUGCUCUGCUUAAACCGUGAGUUCUGUGAAGCAAGAGAAAGAGAAAUUUGGAUACUAGGAGAAGAGUUGUGAGAUGGUUUCGACGGCAAAGUGAACAGGGCCUUUUCACAUUAUUCUGAGAUGGGACCUCUGGGUUGAUUUGAUAGUGGAUAUGACUGUUCUCUAAUUGGCUAGAAGAUGAGUCUAAAGUUACCAACCACCGGAGGAUACUUUUGUGUUCUAGAACAAAUUCCAAUGUCCUACACAAAUGUGAUGCUGGGGACUUCUCUGUUACCUGACACCAAAUUUCCUAGACAUUUCCAUUAUACUUCCUCUUCCUGAUUAUCUUGAGUGGGAAAUCUCCAUGAGUUCUUAGUAGAAGGCAGAAGUAUACAGUGGACCUGGGCCUUCAUUAGAAACCAUGAGACUUCAAAUGAGAGCCUGAAUUAUUCCUUUAUGUUUUCAUUUAUGUGAGAAAAUAAGGGAUAUUGUUGACUUUUUAUGAGAUUAAGUUACCCAGUUAUCCAUCCUAUUAUUAUAAGUUUUAGUGUUUGCAAAGAGAUUUCUGAUCGUUUUUAUUAGUCUCUUUGUAAUAGCUUCAGGGACUUUUUGACAAAAGAGAGAACCAUUUUAAGCAGUAGAAAUGUAGGCUUACAGAGGUCAAAUGGUUAAUUUGAGAUUGCCCAGCAAAACAAAACAAUACGAAAAAGAACACCUGAAGAAAAAUCAAGAUUCAUACUCUGGGCUGUAAUUACCAUUCUGUAGGUUUCCGGAAGCUCAUAUAGUCACAUUACAUUUUGUUCAUGUCGUUAGAAAUCAUUUGCAGUUCAACACUUAGAUUCCCUCCUGUGUUUGAUUUGCAAGGUCUUGGAAGUUAACUUGAACUCAAGGAUUUGUCUACCUAAGAGAGGCAAAUAGAAAAACCCCUAAAGCCACCUGACCUGAUUCUUCUUUGUUAAGACCAGCUCAGAAUAGAGUGAAAUAAGCAAGCUGCAGAAAGACAAUGCUACGUUGAGUUCCACUUCCUCUUGAUAAAUUCAGAACAGCCAGUCCAUCUUAAGGGUGGAUGUUUUUAGCAGCAGGGAGUGGUAGUUGGAUGGAGGCAAGCGGAUGGAAAGGAGGAGAGAGGAGAAGAGAGACAAACUCAGGUGCCCCAGAAAAGUCCACUUUCUCCGUCCCCAUUCAGGCCACCUUCAUCUUCCCCCACCCUCUGCUGGCCUUUCUGGGGGCUCAGGUUUUGAGCUGACUGAGCCCUCAGCGGGAGACCACAACGCAUUUUCAGAUGAAAGGACAACCCUGAAGGUACCUAUUACAUGUCUGUGAGCAGAGAAACAAAGGCCCGGCUGCUGACACCCUCCCACUAACUUGAGUUUUAAUGGUAGGUUUGAUUUCCUCACGCUUAGCUGAAAGAAAGGGAAAAAACUAAGCGGAAAGAACGAGGGUGUGGGUAUCUGUGGUGGUGGGGAAACGACAGCUGUUGUAUUCAUGGUUAAUCAGGUGUGUCUGGCUUUGUGUCGCAUCUGUCUGCUACUGUUGCCAGGCCACAUGUGAAAGGGAACCGAGGGGAAGGGGCCAUUCAUGUUCAAAGCCAGUAGCACUGACCUCUGCCUCGUUCUCUUCAGGGUAGGAAAGCUUGUCUAUUUAACUUUCCCUAUUAUAGGAAGCUGUAAUUCUACUCUAUUAGCCCACCCUAACCAUUUUGGCCUGACAAAUGCAAGCUGCAUCCAGAAUGCCAUAAAUCUGCAUGGGAAGGAGUCCUCCUCCCUCCUUCCCAUUUUUUUCCUUUGGGGUUCGGUUCGAUUUGUCAAACAAGAGAAAACCAGCAAGAGAGAGAAAAAUGAGAACUCAGGGCAUCUUGGUUCACCUUCCAUCUUAAAUGGGCCUAGGGACCGAGAUGGGGGCUGGGAGGCACCCCAAGGUCAAGCCUGGAGCACUGGUUCCCCCUCCAGAUCUGUUUAUCUCACGAGUCCCACAUGCGUGUGGUGAUUGCGUCAGACCUUAGUCAUCUCCCUGGCACCAAAUCCUCCUCCUGGAUCCUUGAUCCCCCUCCUCCUUCUCUGCCCACAUACAGAGGGACCAUGAUGGAGGAGGGGAGGCUUCUGGCUUCUCCUGGAGCCAGGCCUGUGUUCUAGAUAUUGCUGGCCCAGGCCUGCCAGGCACGACUCUCCUCUCUGGCAUAUGGAGAAACAGCUGAAAUGGAAACAACCCCCAAUGCACCACAUUGCACUAAAGCUUAGCGUCAGAGUUCAAAGGACUACUCCAAUUGGAGAUCAAACUGAUCCCUCCCACUGUGGCCUUUUUUGAGGGGGUCCAUCACAACCCUUCGGGGGUGCUUUUCUCCAGCACUUCCGCUUCAGGGCCAGCCCUUGUGUUUCUUGGAGUAAAUGAUUGCUGUCAGCAUUUCCAACACCAUGGAGUUCUGGCUCCAACUUUGGCUUCCUGGAGAAUGGGCCAUCAUAGACUUAUUACAGGGUUCAGAAGAGCUUGCCAUCUGCAAUCUAUUUUAGUUGUCACUGCCUCUUAAAAUAGGCACUAACUUUUAUCCCAUCACAUUAAUUCCUCUCAUGUUGAGGCUAGAGUCGAGCUUUUGGGGUGUGUGUAUGCACGUAACUAUCUUUUUAAAAUCAGAAGGGUUAUUUUCCUAAGACAUGGGUUAUCAGCAGCACAGCUGAGUUUCCUCUUUCUACUGGCCUGUGCUGAUGAAGUUGGUUGCGUUAUUGACCUGCAGCUUUGGGGUCAGAAUGCUUUUGGUUCCCUGAUGUAGAAGGACAUUGCAAAACUAUCCCAGUGCCCUGUGCACUGUCUUUCUCUCUCUGAUACUCCCCAGAUCUCCAAAUUUUAAUGGUGUCAAUAGACAUAACUCAUGCUCCUGCUAGAAGCCUAGCACCCUGCUAGGCUCUGUGAGGACUUUGAGAAUUUGUCAUCUUGUGAGACGCCAUGAAUAAUGCAAGAAAUAGCAAAACAGGUCUGAAAAUGAAGUCUAACUAAAAAGUGUACAAAUCCUAAGUGUACAGCUCUAUGAAUUAUUACUAAGUGAAUAUGCUCACGUAACCAUCACCUAGAUUAAGAAACAGAACAUUACCGCCACUGGAAACUUCUUAAAGUUCUACCUAGGUGGACACCUUGUUAUAUCUAAAACAAUUCUACAACGUGAUUGGGAGUGAGAUUUAGUUCUUAAUUAUGUGGCUAUGGAAAUGUAGAUUUUGAAAGGUUCCCAUUGGCUGGAAGAGAUUUGCCCAUGGGAAGAUUUUGAGUAUGCCCUGGGCUGGCCUGCUGAAGUUGAACUUUAGAGAACCCGGGCGGGCUGGCUGUGCAAUGCUCUUGGCUCCAGAGAAGGACAUGCAAGAUUCUGGCAUCCUUUUUAAAAAAAUUGUGGUAAAAUAUACAUAACAUAAAAUUAAUCAUUGUAAUCAUUUUUAAGUGUGCAGCUCAGCAGUGUUAAGUACAGAUUGUUGCGCAAUGAUCACCACCAUCCAUCCCCAGAGCUCUUUCAUCUUGAAAAACGGAAACUCAAUACCCAUUAAACAGCAACUCCCUAUUUCCCUCCACCCCCAUACCCGGUAACUACCAUUCUACUUUCUGUCUUUCUGAAUUUGACUACUGUAGGUACCUCACAGAAGUAGAAUCAUGCCAUAUUUGUCUUUUUGAGACCGUUUUAUUUCACUGAGCGUAAUGUCCUCAAGGUUCAUCCAUGUCAUGGCAUGUGUCAGAAUUCCCUUCCUUUUUAAGGCUGAAUAAUAUUCCACUGUACAUGUGUACCACAUUUAGUUUACUCAUUCAUCCAUCCAGGGACUCUUGGGUCACUGCCACCUUUUGGCUCCUGCAAAUAAUGCUGCUUUGAACAUGGGUGUACAAAUUACCCUUAUGCACCUUUCCAUUCUUUUGGGUGUAUACCUAAAAGUGGGAUUGCUGGAUCAUAUGGUAAUUGUAUCUUUAGUUUUGGAGGAAUUACUAUAUCAUUUGCUGUAGCAGCUCACUAUUCUGGAAUCCUUUUCACCUGGACCAUUUCCUCCUGACCAGCCUCCUGGAUGGCAUUAGAGGGAGCCUGACACGUGGAUUGAGGUGGUGGCAAUAGUGAGGAUGGUGGUCUGUACUCUGUAUGUGCCCGUUGUUGGGAAUCUAGAGCAAAUGGGGCAGGAUGGAGUGUGACACCACAAUCCAUGGUGGAAACUUGAGAGUUCACUGAAUAGAGGGGGAGGAAUUUAUUUAUUUACUUAUUUUUAUUUUUGAGACAGGGUCUUGCUCUGUCACUUAGGCUGGCAUGCAGUGGUGCAACAUAGCUCACUGCAGCCUUGAACUCCUGGGCUCAAGAGAUGUUUCCACCUCAGUCUCCUGAGCAACUGAGACGACAGGCCCACAUCACCACACCUAGCUAUUUAAAAAAAUUAUUUUUAUUUUGUAGAGAUGGGGUCUCAUUAUGUUGCCCAAGCUGCUCUUGGUCUCAAACUCUUGAGCUCAAGUGAUGCUCCCACCUUCAGCCUCCCAAAGUGCUAGAUUUACAGACGUGAGCCACUGUGCCCAGUCUGUGGGAAUAGUUCAUUUUGCACAAAGAUAAAUGCUUUUCCCCCUAAUUUGUGGGAGACUGAGGUUAAAGGAGUCCUUAAUAACCAGGUAUUCAGAGGCCUUCUGCCUGUUCAGUGUAUCACCUCCAGAUUUUUGGGGGGCCUUUAGGCGUAAGUGUUGAGAUAUUUAUAGAACAGAUUAUGAGCUUUUAAAUAGAUUACCUAAAAAAAAAGAAGAAGAGAGAGAGUGAGGGAAAUGGUAGCCAGUAAACCAACUGAGGAAGGCACACACCUUUUGCCUGAUAGGGAUGUCGAGGAGAGGGAUGCCACUUGAAUACGAAGGUCGUUCUUGGGCUCACGGGUGCAGUCGUUUGGGUUUAGUGCUGGCUGCUGAUGCCAGAAGCACUCAGUAUUGAACAUUCAGGGGCUUCUUCAAACAAUUUUAAGUAUUUCUGUUUUCUAAAUCUUGAUGCUUUAUUGCUAGGGAUAAGCUCACAUUAAUAUCCACUGGAAGGAAGAACUAUGAGGAUCACCAGGGUGAGGACCUUUAGAACUGAAGAAGGACACAUUAUUAUUGCUAAAAGAAUAUCUGCUUCUUCCCAGUUCCUUCCCUUUGGCCUUCUCCCAUUUCAUUAUAGGAAAAAAAAGCUCCAUGAAAUUACAUAUUGUUUUCUUAAAUUUAAAAGAUACGUAUGGCUGCCACCUAAAGUCUGUCAAGGAAAAAAAAUGUCCUACCCCAAAUGGUAACCAUUAUUUAACAGUUGUUUUAUUUUCUUCCAAAACGCUCUGUAUAUAUUCACUGUGCUUUUGAGGCAGCACAGUUUAGUUCUAAUUACUUACAACCCAAACACCACCAAUUAUAAAAAUAUACAGAUACUACCCGUAUGCAACUCUUUACCAUUAUAAACUACUUUCACAUAUAAUUGAACCUUAUCAAAAUUGAAAUUAGUAGUAGUCUUUUUUUUUUUUUUUUUGAGAGGGAGUCUGGCACUGUUGCCCAGGCUGGAGUGCAGUGGUGUGAUCUUGGCUCUUGGCUCACUUCAACCUCUGCCUUCCGGGUUCAAGCGAUUCUCCUGCCUCAGCCUCCUGAGUAGCUGGGAUUACAGGCAUGCGCCACCAUGUCUGGCUAAUUUUUGUAUUUUUAGUAGAGACUGAGUUUUGUCAUGUUGGCCAGGCUGGUCUCAAACUCCCAACCUCAGAUGAUCUACCUGCCUUGGCCUCUGAAGUGCUGGGACUACAGGUGUAAGCCACCAAGCUUGGCUGAAAUUGGUAUUAUUCUUAUUUAAUAGAAAGGAGAGGCAGGGGAGAUUAAGACACUUGUUCAAAUUUACACCACAUGUUAGAAAAUGGAGUUGGGACAAGAAUCCAAGUCAUUGAAGUAAACUGUAGGUCCACAAGCCUUUCUCCUCCACCAUAGAAUCUGGAGUGAACAUUGGAGGCCAAAGUGCCUUACAGAAAUACUUAAAGGAGCUACCAAGUCACUGGCUUCAUAAAGCUGACUAAUCUUCAUGUGUCCAUGGUGUCAGUUUAUGAAACCCUUUAUCUUAUACGAGGAGGCACACUGGACUCACUAAGAAUUGCAAUGAGAAUUGAGUUUAUUGGAAUAGGUAUAACCUCAAUAGAAUCAUAGAGAAGACAACUGAGAACCUGGAAAACAUUUUUAGUAUUCAUGAGUGUGUUGGCACCAGCUUAUUUAUAAAGUUGUUUUGACAACGUGUGUGCCUUAAACUUCUAUUUAUAAGAAGUAAAAUGGAAUCAUCUUCUUACCCUGCUGAGUUGCAAAUUCUGUUUUAGGGCAAAUUUUUAAUCUGCCUCUUUAAUAUAGAGCAAUAGAUAUAUUUUUUUUCCUGCUGAGUUUAUUUUUUCAAGUACAUAAGUUAAUUAAGAACCAUUUACCUGAAGAUAUGUUUUCUUCCUUAUGAAGUACAUAAUGAGAACAUGGCCACAGAUGUUAGGUAGUGACAGAAAUGCCUGUCUGGAAGGUGAAUUCUUUAAAUUUUUUUUAUCUCACAAUAGCUGUAUAGAGAAUUGUUGAUGGUUCAUGUUUUAUUUCCCUUUGUUAUAAAAUUUUCAUAGUUUGCAAAAAUAAAAGUUAUGGGCUAUGUGUCCUUUAUUUGAUACUCCCUGUGAGAAAGGGUAAGAUAGAAGAUUCAGUAAUGGCCAGUGUUGGUGGAAGAGACUGCUGCUUGUAACCAGUAGAGAGGAACGGGGGGUGGGGAAGUUUACUUCAGCACUGUAUUGAUUAGAAUUAGAUUCUUCUUUAUAGGAGACAGAAAUAUCUUAUAUAAGUGGCAUAAAAAUAUGAAAGUAAAUGUGUCUUUUACAUAAAAGAAAUUCAGAGUUGCAGUCUAUGGCUGGUAUGGUUCCUCCAUGAGGUUUUCAGAUACUCAGUUUCCUUCUAGUUCAUUAAUCUGUCAUUCUUAGGUUAUAGCUUUUGUCUUUAUUGUCUUCAUGAUUCAAGAUGGCUGCUAGAGCUCCAGCCAUCAUUCCUUCCUUCCUUCUUUCCUUCCUUCAUUUCUUUCUUUCCUUCUUUCCUUCUUUCUCUCUUUCUCUCUCCUUCCUUCCUUCCUUCCCCCCUUCCUUCCUUCCUUCUUUCUUUCAUUCUUUUGUUCUUUCUUGCUCUCUCACCCAGACUGGAGUGCAGUGGCACAAUCACAGCUCACUACAGCCUCUAACUCCUGGGCUUAAGUGAUCCUCCUGCCUCAGCUUCUCGAGUAGCUGAGGCUACAGUUGCACAGUACUAUGCCUGGCUAAUUUUUAAAUUCUUUGUAGAGAGAGGGUCUUGCUUGGUUUCCUGGGCUGGUCUUGAAAUCCUGGCCUUGAUCUCCUGCCUUGGCCUCCCAAAGUUGCUAGGAUUACGGAUAUGAGCCACUGCACCUGGCUCAUGUGUGUGUGUGUGUGUGUGUGUGUUUUUACAGAGGAACUUCCUAGAAAUUCCACACAAUACUUCUGCUUAUGUUGUAUUGUCCAGAACCUAGUCAUAUGGCCACAUUUACCUGCCAGGUAGGCUGGGAAAUAUAUGUUGUGGAUGGCAAUAAGCUGAAAUAAAAAUUGAAGUUCUGUUAUUGAAAAGGGGAAAAAUGGAUUUUUUUUUCCAGGAAGAACUUUUUAUUAAUAUAAAGUUUUAAGAUAUUCACCAGUCAGAUCUAAACUUACUCAUUAAACUCUAUUUUUAAAAAAUGAACACACUGUACUGCAGUGAAAGGCAGGAACGUGGUUUUAGACACUGAUUGAAAACCAGUGUCUUCACGCACUGAGAACAGGAAACAUUCUGCACUGCGAACGAAGUGCACAGUCAACAGGAAGACACACACACACGACAGAAAGCCCCCAGUGUGAGUGACCGUGUACCUGGGCAGGUGACAGGAUGCCCAGGCCGUGGCUUGGACAUGGCUGCCACGCUGCGAUGCCUGCUGGGCCCCACAAGGACUGGGGACACACACAGAGCCCAGCUAUACACUGUGAUAGAGUCCACCCAUUUUGCUACCCUAUACCCAUGUGCACUGUUCUCCUACCUUCCUGCUACCUGGAUUGUGAUUGUAAGGCCUGGAUUCCAAGAUGUUAACUUGAUAAUAAAAGCCACACACAAUAGAACAGUAAGAUGCAAGGCACAUGCAUCCCUGGCACUGUGGAGCUGUGGACAGACUAGCUCUAGAUUUCCACGUGAGAGAGAAAUACCUCUCUAUUUUGAUUAAACCAUUUUGCUAGAGUUUUGAUGGUUGCAGCUGAGCCUAAUCUUAACAGAUACAAGCAUAAUAUAAACUUAUAAAAUAGUGUUCUUUUUAAGAUUGUGUCUUACUUUGCCUACCAAUGCAGGUGGACUGACCAUCUGCCUAUCCAGCCUGGCCUACCAUGUGAUACUAGGUAUACGAAGUUGGCUCAGAAGUUAAUUUCACUCACGGGAGCUUCUGUUCUAGGAAGAACAAACAAACCAAUGCAGUAAAGGGACUCCCAUUGCUUUAAUGGAAAUCUGUAUAAAAGAGAGUGGUGCCCAGAGAUAUUUGCUAUAUGCUCUACUGCCAUCUUAGACUAGGAAAAACCAAAACCAAAACAAUGCUGACCAUAGCAUAUUUUUUUCAUCAUUGACAUUAUCUUUAUAUUAAUCACUUGUAAUUAUUCCUUGAAUAUACAAAAUCUGACUAUUGGUUUUUGUUUAUAUUGAGAGAAUGAUGACAUCAGAUUAAACAUUAAUUUUCCCUUGAGAAUCUUUCAAUACAAUUGGAGUAGAAUUUUUUUUUUUUGAGACAGGGUCUUGCUGUGCCACCCAGGCUGGGGUGCAGUGGGGCAAUCAUGGCUCACUGCAGCCUCAACCUCCUGGGCUCAGGUGAUCCUCUUGCCUCAGCCUCCUAAGUAGCUGGUACCACACGCGUGCACCACCACACCUGACAAAUAUUGGAAAAUUAUUUAUAGAGAUGAGGUCUCCCUAUGUUGUUCAGACUGGUCUCAAACUCCUGAACUCAAGCGCUCCUCUUGCCUCGGACUCUUAAAGUGCUGAGAUUGCAGGUGUGAGCCACUGCACCCAGCCUGGAGCAGAAUAUUUUUACAUAAAACUAAAGAGAGGUUGGCGACUUAUAAUCGUGUUCAGGAGGUAGCAAAUGUUUUACUUAGGUGAGAAGAAAUAUACUUUUCGUGUUGUCAUAGAGUAAGCCCAAUCCUUAUUUACUUUUGUUACCAUUGGCAUGACAACAAUCAUUGGAGCAUCUUUGUCUUCCAAACAUUUCUUAUAUUAUUUACUUUUUCAUAGCAACUUAAAACGGAAGAUCAUAGAGUUUAGGUGACUUGCCCUAGGACACGCCCUUGGAAAAUAGUAGAGCCAGAAUUUGAAUUCAGUUCUGGGUCUCUUUUUUUUUUUUGAAUUCCAUUCAUGUGUUGAUAAUAGCUGCUAUGGAGACUUAGCCAGGAAAGCAGAUGUGGAUGGUUAGCGGAAGCUAAAGAGGAAAAAGGUUAAGCUUUUUUUUUGAAGUUUUCCUGCUCAGCUAGGAAAACAUUGCUGCAGUUAUCAGGUAAUUGAAGUGUCAACGUGACGCUGUCAGAAAGGUUGGAUGAAUUUGUUCCUGUUGGCCUAUAUUUGGCUGUUAAGUGAGUUGCACAAUUGCAGUUUUCAGGUUAAGAAACUCUCUGGCAGUCGUGGGAGUUCCUCUUUAGAAGCAACUCUGCUAACAUGCAAAAUCAAUGUCACUGAAGAUUUUGCUUAUGUUACUGCCUCCAACACUGUUUGAUCCUUACAUAAAAGAGACAUUUGUCAUUUGACAGGACUAAGACUGGGAAAGGUUGUGGAGGCUUCCCCCAGCUGUGGUGCACAAAUAUCUACACAUUCUGUCUGCUUAAGUUUCUUUGGAAUGUUUUCAUUGCAAAGGCUGGGUCACUGAGGGGGCCUGCCCUUGCCCUUUGACCUUGGUAAAUUACUGCCCCCAGUCCUGAUGAGUUUGCAGGACAAACUUCCAUCAUCUUCCCAACCUUGGCAAUGAGGGAGAAGGCUGGACCUCCCUGGCUUUGUUUUAAUCCAUUUUCACCUCCCUUUUCUUUUUCUUUCUCUUAAUUCUUGUUGUUCUUCCUUUGAGUGACUACCAGCCCCUAUGUAACUCUUUCUCUUUUUUUUCUACCCCUCUAUCUUGGCUGCCACUCAACUUCAAAGCUCACUUCAGCAGGAGAAAUGUGUGAGUUGUAUGGAAAUGCUGCCCUCUGGACUUUCAGUAUUUUAACCCCCGGACUUGAUUCAACUGCUUCCCAAAUGAUUGGAAAGAAAUAUCCCAAGCCCAGAACUGGAGAAACCCUUUUUUUUUCAGUGACCAAAUAGAUUUUGGUGUUGUGCCUAUGUACCUUUGAUCAAUUCAUAUUUCCAAUUUGGGGACAUGCUUUUUCUAAAGACAAGUGUCUUUCACUUAGAGGAACUUAGCUGAUGGAUGACUUGUACAGAUCCAAUUAGUCUUGUUUCAGAUUAUAGGCAUUCAGAAAGAGGUAUCUUUUAAUGGUUUUUUGGGACCGUGGGAAUUUUGUUACAAUAUCUGUCACAUCUUCCAGUAAAAAAGUGAUAGCAAUUUUUUUCUCUUUGGAGGUCUUUUUAAAAUGCCUUCUUUCCUCAUUGCUACAGAUAUGUUCUUGCAUAAAUCUUUGAAGCAAGCCAAUGUCUUCUAGAAUCUCAUUAAAUUUCAUGACUUUCCAUUCCUUGUGUUGAAAAUAUAUUCCAUUUUUUACAUAACAUUUUAAACAUUAUCCCUUAAAAAGGUAAAGGAUGUUCAUAGGGAAUCAGAAAGUUUGUAAAACACAAAUAAUAAAAAUUAAAAUAAUCCAUAAUGAUAAAAUUGUCACGUUUUAUCCUGUUUAUUUUGCUUAGAGAGUGAUAGAGCCUUUGUUGGGUGAUCAUACACUUGUUAUUGUUACUGAAGAGUGUGGGGUUCUGGUAAGCAUGUUCUGAGAAAGAGAGAGAUAUUUUGUUUUUCUCUAAAGUGCUUGGAUCUUCUAUGAGUUGAUUUACACUAGCAUUUAUCAUUUUUGUCACUUGUCAGACAUCAACAAUUCAAGUGGUUGGCAUUCAAAGUUGUGUCUAAGAAAGCAGUGUUCAACCAUUGUGUUCCACUCUGGGUAUGAAAAGGAAUUUGCUAGCUAAUAACAGAGUAUCACAGUUUUGAAUAAUUUACUUUGUUGAUAAAUUACAAUAUAUUUUAGAGUGUGCUUCCAUAACAAUGCUGUUUUUAGAUUCUUGCAUUCUGAUCUGCUUUCUUGAGUGGGAGAGGAAGGAAGGGGCGGGUAUACACUUGGCCCACGCGUAUGCCCAUGGGGCCAUAUUAUUUGUGACUAUCAUGUAGGCUGUUUGCUGGGUCAGCGGAGAGACAGUGGUCGGCUCUGGGAGGUCACGCCUCCACUACUUGGCCUUCCUUCGGAGGCUCUUACUGGUUUCCACUGGAGAAUAAGCUGUGGAAGCACUCUAGUUAAUGGUAAGUAGAGAAGGAAGAUGGCUGUGGAAUGCAGAAUAUAGGAGUUUGUGUACUCUAAUCCCACUGUAAUAAACUGUGUUUCUGAAGUUGAGACUCAAUUGAGAUUACGAUUAUGCAUGUAAAUAGUGCAUGAAAUAACCAACAUGACUAUAUUUAGAUAUUGGUUAUGAAUCGAGUCAGACAUUUUCAGCAGGAGAAGAGAGCAAGACCUCCUGCAGAGAAAAUCUCUGAAUGCUGCUGUCCUUUAAACACACGUAGCCUUUCUGACAGGAGGCAAAGUGCCAGCCUCAUUGCUUUGGUUUCAGCCACACUGAGCAGAAAGGGUCAGUCUGACUGCUUGCUGAGAUUUUUCUCUUCUUUGCUCCAUAGUUUCAUUGAUUUAUUUUCUCUCCAUCUGUGUUAUAUAUAUAUAUCAUUUUUAAAUUUUUUGUUUGAGACAGUCUUGUUCUGUCGCCCAGGCUGGAGUACAGUGGCAUGAUCUUGGCUCACUGCAGCCUCUGCCUCCUGGUUCAAGUGAUUCUCGUGUCUCAGCUUCCUGAGUAGCUGGGACUACAGGCGCACACCACCAUGCCUCACUAAUUUUUGUAUUUUUAGUAGAGACAGGGUUUCACCAUGUUGGCCAGGUUGGUCUCAAACUCCUGGCGUGAAGUGAUCUGCAUGCCUGGACCUCUCAAAGUGCUGGGAUUACAGGCGUGAGCCACUAUGCCCAGCCCUGCUGAGUUUUAGAGCUACAGCUCCUCUGUAGUUGUUUUUUUUUUUUUUUUUUUUUGAGACAGUCUCACUUUGUCACUCAGGCUGGAGUGCAUUGGCGCGAUCUCGGCUCACUGCAAGCUCCGCCUCCUGGGUUCACGCCAUUCUCCUGCCUUGGCCUCCCAAGUAGCUGGGACUACAGGCGCCCACCACCAUGCCCAGCUAAUUUUUUGUAUUUUUAGUAGAGACAGGUUUUCACUGUGUUAGCCAGGAUGGUCUCGAUUUCCUGACCUCGUGAUCUGCCCAGCUCGGCCUCCCAAAGUGCUGGGAUUACAGGCGUGAGCCACUGCGCCCAGCCUGUAGUUGUUUUUUGUGGGGAAUAGAACAAAAUGGAACUAGAAAACUUGAGGCCUUUCAAUCACAACCAUGCUACAUUUUAUCUGAACACAGGAGAACCUGAUAGUUCCCCCCAGCUCUCUACCUCAUUGCUGCAAAGGUGGGAUGGCUGCCCAGGGGUGUAGGAGCAGGAAUCACAGCUUUAAAAAAUAUUUUAUAUUGAUACACACUAAUUGUACAUGUUGAUGAAGUACAUUUGAUAUUUGAUAGUUGCACACAAUGUGUAAUGAUCAAAUCAAGGUAAUUGGGAUAUUCCUCACCUCAAACAUUGAUCAUGUUUUUGUGUUGGGAACAUUGCAAAUCUUCUAGCUAUUUUGCAAUAUACACUCAAUUAUUUACUACAGUCACCCUACUGUGCCAUCAAACACUAGAACUUAUUCCUUCUAUCUACCUGUAUGUUUGUACUCAUUAAUCAGUCUCUCUUCAUCCCCACUCCCCACUACCCUUUCCAGCCUCUGGUAACCACCCUUCUACUCUCUACCGCCAUUAGAUCAACUGACAGCUUUUGUUUUUACUGCAAGGUCUUGUUCCACCUUCUUCCCACGGGUCCAGGCAGUUGUUCUUCUAGUCUACACUGUCUCUUGUAGCUUGUUUGUCAUCUGGAGGGAAUAGGUUGGAAAUCUUGUAUUUGGGUAUCUAUUCUCAUACAGGGAGGAAAUACAGGCAAUUAGGUUAAAGUCAUAGGCACCAUGUAGAGGGCUGGGCUGGAAGGAAGUCAAGCUCUAAGUGUUGACUGUGUGGGAGGAGCUGUGAACAUGAGGAUGUGAACCUGAGUAAGACGGAUCUCUACCCAAAGGGUAAGGAGUUUGGGGGACAUGGUGAGUCCUGUGAAAUAGGCCAGCAGAGUUUGCACAGAGUAGGGGCCCGGAGCCCACUGCUUGAGGUUGUGAGGGGCAGAGAAGGUCUCUAGACCAGAGACAAUGGGGGUGCACUGCAUGCAUGCACAGGGAGGUAAGGUUGCACAGAACCCCGAGUCUGCAGCUCAGUAACUAAGGCCUCGUACGAAAACGGUGGCUUCAUUCAUUCCAAAUCCCCUUGUGUGGUCUCUUCCUUGCCGUGACUGCCACUUGCUGUUGCUGCCUUGCCUGUUUCUUGUUCCCAACCUCAUGACUUUUGCUUCCUUGUGCUUUCUAGGCCUUAUGGCUUCUGCUCUCUGUCUCUUCUUUUGAAGUCCUUCUGCCUACUUGCUGCUGUCCUGGCUGCUUCAGCUGCUGCAGACUGUGACAGGCUCUCCCACAAUCCAGCUUCUGAGAGAGGAUCUGAUUGGACUUGAAUGGUUGCUGCACAGUUUAGAGUUUCCCUCCGAGGCAGAGUUUUCUUGUCCCGACUUGUCAGAGGCCACUGGCCCGCUCUUGGUUGAUUCAGUUGCUGUACCUCAACAUUGGAUGAGUUGAGGGAGGCAAGACCCCUGUUAGCCGAUGGUGACCUUUGAAUAGGGAAUUGCCUGCGGCGAGCCCUUUCCUCAGAGAAAGGCUGUGGGCCGUGGUCAAGGAGAGACGUUGGUCUGUGCUGCACAGGUGUGCCUACAAGUCUGAGCUGAACUGCUCCGCUCUAUAAAGGGAAGAAGAUUCAACUUUCUGGGGAAGUCCUGCAGAGGCAAAGAGGCUGGGUGCAGGGUUGGAGAAGGCAGGCAAAGAGACAGCCUCCUGAUCAUGGAUAACUGGGAGGGCUUGGGGAAUGUGCAUUGUGGAUUUUAUUCCUUUCCUUCUUGCCUGCCUUUCUUUUUUUUCUUUCUUCUUUUCUUUCUUUUUCUUUCUUCUUUUCUUUCUUUUCUUUUUUUUUUUUUUUUUUUUUGAGAUGGAGUCUCAGUCUGUCAUCUAGGCUGGAGUUCAGUGGUAUGAUCACAGCUCACUGCAGCCUCAAACUCCCAAACUCAAGCAAUCUUCCUGCCUCAACCUCCUGGGUAGCUGGGACUACAGAUGAGCACCACCAUGCUCACUAAUUUUUAAUUAUUUUUUAGGACCUGAUCUCACUAUGUUGCCCAGACAGGCCUCAAACUCCUGGGCUCAAGUGAUCCUCCCACCUCAGCUGAGACUACAGGCAUGAGCCAUGGUGCCCAGCCCAUAGAUUCUUGAUUUCUGCAUGAUGUCAGUCUUUCCUCUUGUUCCCUUCUCUGUAGCACUUGUUAGUUAUUUUGUGACAGUGACGUUGAAUACAGUAGGGAGCCAAUAGGACACAGCCCAGAAGCAGUAUGUGAAGGUGUGGAAUCCAGAAGCAGAGGGCAUCAGGGGAGGGUAAGGCCCUUCAGUUGGCUGAAAUUACAAGAAAGAAUUUGGACGUUCAGAGGCCUAGAAUUGGGUGUUUGUGUCAAGAUCACCCACGUGUCCAACAGACAGGGAGAUCCUGUUUACCUAUAGGGGUCAUAGACAACACAGUGUCCAGGUGUAGAGCAGGGUCAGACACACAUGUGGAUGAAAUGAGAACUCGGGAGACCGGAGUGGAGGAGAGUAAGCUCGUGCCACCACAGUGGACAGUCAGGCAGAGCCCGAGGGCUCCAGAGCUGCUGAAGUGUGGAGUUGGGGACUUUCGUAUAGGGAUGGCUUUGCCAGUGGGUGCAAGGCAUCCCUUAGGGACACUGCUAUGAAAGGGAAAAGAGAAGCAGGAAUGAUGGAGAGAGAACCAGGCACCCAAUUUUGACACACCCCAGUUCUCCCUAAUGGAGCUGGCUGGAAGGUGUGACAAAAUGCCUAAGAAAUGCUCUCCAAACCCACUCUCCUGCCUUUCUCUCUUUUCCAGAUCAGUGUCUCCACUUCCCUGUUCCCUUGGGCCCUCUGUGAAAGGUAGACUGAUCCUCGGUGAAGGCUUUGUUAAACCCAGCCUCAAUGCAUGCCCUGAAAAUGAAUGAACGAACACUAAGGAAGGAGGCUGCAGAGGGGAUUUUUCGAGACUGCAUCAGUGUUGGUCACCUGCCUCCUUUUGGCUAUAAUAGGAGUCAUGCAGCUUAAAAACCCUGACUGCUGAUUUGAAAAUUUACCUCAUGCAGUGAUUGAUAAUAGAAGCUUUCAGAAAUGAAUAAAAAAAGAGGGGGAGGGGAUGGCAAGUGAGUGCUGGGGAAACAUAUGUGGAUAAAUGUUCAGAUGUUGCAAACGAGGAUGAUUAAAACUUGAACCAUUCAUCUUCACCCAGUGGUGUUCGGAUGUCCAAAUUUGCCAUGUCUGUGUUAUAGGUAGGGAAACAGAGGCACAGGGAAGGGAAAGAGGCUGGCAAGCUCUCAAGUUCAUCUUGGUAUCAUUUUUUAGGAGGGGUACAAUGACCAGGUCACCUCUGGUGGCUUAUUUUGAACCAACCAUUUGCAGAAAAGUGAAGCCCGAUCCUUCUCAUGCGUUGUCUUCUACAAUUGCAGUAGCCAUCUGACAGAUAAUAGAAUAAUAGGAAGAUGUUGCCUUGGACAAUGGGCCAGCCAAAGAGCUGAAUGAGAGACACUAAAAUAAAUAAAUAAAUAUUCUAAAAAAGGCAUUUUGACAGAAAAAUUCUCCAAAGAGGGGAGGCAUUCUCUUGUCUUUUCCUAUCCACCUUUGCAGCAGGGUAUCUUUUCCCCCUCACUUGGAGUCUUUCAUCAGCUUUGGGCCCUUUCCUAGCUCCUCUGCUCUUUUAGAGACUUUUUUUUCAGGGGCCAUGUAGUGGUUUAGAUUUUAAUGGAAGUAUGUUAGGUGGGGCCUGGCUUCCAUUAUGCUGAGCUCAGGCCUAGUGAUGUGAUCUGUCCUCUUCACUGUUGUCAGGGAAGAAAAGAAGGAAGGGAGGAAGAAAAGGAAGAGAGGAAGGAAGGAAGGAAGGAGGGGAGGAAGGAAGGAAGGAAGGAAAGAAGGAAGGAAGGGAGGGAGGAAGGGAGGGAGUUAAAUUAAGUUUAGCCCUAAAGCUAUCUCCCUACAUAUUUUAAGUUCAGCCUAAAGGUUUCUCUGUACACAGUAAAUGGUCACCCACCUGGACAUGUAAACAGACUGUAAUCUAUUAUUGUGCCAAUCACCAAAUUUUGGCCAAUCACAGGGGGCCAACUGUUCAAGCCCUGUUCAAGUAAGGCAAACACCAGAUUGUGACCAAUCCAGCUGUUUCUGUACCUCACUUCUGUUUCCUGUCCAUCACUCUCCUUUUACUGUCCAUGAGUCUUCCACCAUGUGGCUAUGCUGGAGCCCCUCUCAACCUAUUCUGGUUCAAGGGCUGCCUGAUCCACGAAUCAUUAUUUGCUCAAUUAAACUCGGUUAAAUUUUAUUUGUCUAAGGUGUAUCUUUUAACAGAGGGAGAGAAGAAGGAACUUAUAGCAACUAUCACGAUGACAGUCGUAUCAUGCGUUCUUAGAAAAACAACCCUGAGGGUCGGCAAUGGCUUUAGUAUACUGAAGGGAAUUUAUAGUCGAAAACAAUUAGUUUUAAAAUGCAGCUGCACAGUCAAAACACUUGAAGAACUUAAAAACAAUACUGGUGCCUGAGCCGCAUUCCCAGAGAGCCUGGGGUGGAGACUGGACAUCAGCACUUUUAAAGUCUCCCCUGGAGGCUGCAAAGCGCAGCCAGGGUUGAGAAUCACUGUUCUAGAUGGAUCCCUCCUCGCAUCCAGGAACAGCUGUUUGGAAUAGAAUCUUUGGAUGGUGGAGUUUUUCACAUGGUGAAAGGGUUGGGAACUUGUGUGGGAGAAGGCUCUGGAAGCAGAAGAACAAUGGGAAGAGCUUUGAUAUCAUCCAAGGUGGUCGUGGAGAGACUUGGCUGAAAGGUCCUUCACACCAACCUGGGGAUGGGGAGAUUUGAUUUCAUACUCGGGGUUCAGGAAGCAGAGAAUUUUCUGCUCUCUACAGUUGAGAGCAGCCUGGGAGGACAUCCAGCCUCUUCUACUCCCCUGCUGUGUUUUCUAGGCUUUGUAAUCUGCCGUUUGGUUUCCUGGAGUGACCUACCGCCUAGGAAGGGAGCGCCCUGGACAGGCAGCUGGUCUCAGUUCUCCGGCCAGGAAUACAGGAGAACCUUACAUAACCCUGCAAUUGAGCUCUUGGAAAGGAAUGGCUGCCUGAUGCAAAAAUGCUUAAUGAGAGGUGAACAAUUAAUGGAGGAUGGGGCUCUGUUCCCAGGCCAACUAGGAGUGAGUGGUGACGGGUGCACAGGGUCUCGGAGUCACCCUGGGGCUGUGCUCAUUCCUGACUCAUCAGCAGCUCACUCACGACAGGCACAUGCUGAUGUCUCCAUAGUUUGUCCCCAGGCAAGCAUUCUGUUUCUAUCUUGGUCUUGCCCUGCACACUCAGUUUUGGUAUUUUAAAGGAUUUGCUAAUAAUGUUCCUUUAGAAUCGUUUUGUGGAUCUGUCUUUCCCUUCCUUCUUUCCUUUGUGAGGGUUGUCUGGCAUCUUUUUUUUACUCCCUGGCUGGUUAUUCACAAACCAGAGGAACAGUCCUCAUGUACAUCAAACUUACCUCUCAACUCUCCAGGUGCUAAACCUUCUCAUGGAGAAGAACAAACUUGACUGCUAGCCCAUUCUGCAGCAGAAUUCUGAGAGCUAGGGCAGGCUCUGUUACAGGUCAGGAGAAUUGGCCUGAUUAGAAACCAUUUGAGGUAGGGAAUGGGGGCUCACACCUGAAUCCCAGCACUUUGGGACACUGAGGCCAGGAGUUGGAGACCAGCCUGGUCAAUACAUGAGACCCUGUCUCUACAAAAAAAAAAAAAAAAAAAAAAAAAAAAAAAAUUUUUAGUACUCCGAAUAAAUGUAUCUGUAAAAGGAAAGCCACAGUAAUUCAGAGUCAUGGUUUAUAUACCUAUUUCACAUAAGAUGCCACUGUAUCUUCUCCUACAAUUAAUAAGUUGUCUUUUUAGUACAAUUCAGGUCUCUUUGCUUUUGGGUCUUAGAAGCCUAAUUUUCUAGGCUCUGGCUAUCUUUGACUACUAAUAAUAUCAUAAAACUAUGAUAAUGAUAAUAACUCUUAUUUAUAAGAGUUGAUAUCAGGCACUGGUGUAAGGGCUUUCCUUACGUUACUGAAUCUAAUCCGUACAUAAGAUCAGUGUAGUCAGCAUGAUUAGUAUCAUCUCUAGGUUACACAUGAGGGAAUCAGGGCUUAGAACAUCUGAGAAAAUCCAGUGACGAUAGAGUUUGAAUUCAAAUUGACAUCAUUCUGAUUCCAGAGCUGAUUCUUAGCCAUGUCAUAUUCUAAGUGACGUUGAGAUGACACGCAUGAUCUCAUUCAAUCAUGUGGCUUUAAAAUCCAUCUAUAUGAUGGGUGAGCCUCAAAUUUAUAUCUCUAACUUAAACCCUCCCCAGGCUUGGGGAUGCAACUGCCUGCUGUCAUUGUCAGUCCAAUUUCUUUCUUUCUUUUUUUUGAGAUGGAGUCCCACUCUGUCACCCAGGCUGGAGUGUAGUGGCACGAUCUUGGCUCACUGCAACCUCUGCCUCCUGGGCUCAAGCAAUUCUUCCACCUCAGCCUCCUGAGUAGCUGGGACUACAGGUGUCUGCCACACCCAGAUAAUUUUUGUAUUUUUAAUAGAGGUGGGGUUUCACCAUGUUGGCCAGGCUGGACUCAAACUCCUGACUUCAGGUGACCCACCCGCCUCAGCCUCCCAAAGUGCUGGGAUUACAGGCGCCCAGCCCCUCAGUUGAAUUUCUAACAGGCACCUCACACCUAAGCUGACCUAACAAGCUUGUUCUUGCCCCCUUGCUCUCCCUGCUCCCUCAGUAAAUUUGUCUCCAUUCAGUUACUCAGGCCUCGAUGAAGGAGUCACCCUUGACUCCUCUCUUUCACAGCUCACAUGGACACCAUCAGCAAAUCCAGUGGGAUGCCUGUAUUCAGAAUCCAUCCACUCCUUCCCUCCUCCACUGUUGCUGCUCCUCUACUGUCUGUUUUCAACACAGAUGUCAGAGUGAGUCAGCUUUUGUCACUUCCUUGCUCAAAAUCUUAUCUCAUUCAGAGAGUUCCAGUUAGUAAGUUAUCAUCUUUCAGCUCCAAAGCCUUCCUUCAAUACUUGAUUCUAUGCUGGGCCCCUGAACACUGCAUUUCUCCUUUGUUGGGCUCCUUGUUGCACUCAGCCAGUAGGGGUUGCUAGAGAGGCUCCUACUCUUUCCCAUGGGUAUCCUGUCUGCCUGUGGCUCCUGUGUGCAGCACCCCAGUACUGCUGCUUCAUCUUGGCAGCAGCAGUUUCUUCCUGUAGCAGCUGUUCAAUCUACGUUGCAAUUUUUCCUACACUCAAGAACCAGACUCAUUGUGCCUUUUUAGGGCCACAGCACUGACUGCCAUUGCCCCAUCUUUGAGGUUUGGGUUCUAGCCCCAUGGGACUGUUUUCUAAGCUUCUAAAUUUUAAUUAUCCGACAGCCCCCUUUUUCUUCUGCCAGCCCCAGGGGUGGAGCUUCCUGAAGUUGUUAUACGAAAGACACCUUAGAGUUGUCUUUUUACUCUUUCAGUUACCUGGUUAAGACUUUAUUCCUAGAAAAUUAUUCUUUAUAUUAAAUUAGCCGUGUUAAAAUAACUGGUGUGGCUUCUGUCUCCUGGUUAGGCCCUGACUGAUGUGCUGAGUUAAAGGUGAAGUCCUUAAAAUGGUUUGCAAGGUUGCAAGCGAUCUGGCUUCCGGCCACCUCUCCUGUCUUAGCUCCUUCCACUGUCACCGUCAUUCCUCGCUCCUUUUGGCCCCUUGCUGUUCUGUAAACACACCAAUCCCUCUCCUGCCUCACAGUCUUGGCCCUUUCUGAUCCCUUUGCCUGAAAAACCCUGCCCUGCAAUUCUACAUGGCCUCUCUUUCCCCUGCUUGGGUCUUCCUGAGAUGUUACCUCUUCAGUGAGACCUUCCCUGACCGCACCACAUAAUCCACAUCCCCCACUCCCCCCACCCCUGCCUGGAUGAUUUCUGUCCUUCUUAAUCUGCCUUGCUUUUUCCAUAGCACCUAUCACCAUCUGAUAGUCUGUUUAUUCAUACUUGAUUAUUUGUUAAUUCCUGUGUCCCCCUAACUAGCAAAUAAACACCCCAACAAGGCAGAACUUUUCCUACUUUAGUGAUUGCUACAUCCCAGACUUUAUAACAGUGUCUGGCGCAUAUAAAUGCUUGAAAAGUAUUUGUUGAGUGAAUAGUAAAAUUGAAGUUCUGGACUGUCAGGAUUAAGACUGUCCUAGGCCCGGUGCUAGAGGGAGAAUCCUAAAGAGGACGCUGGCCUUAGAGGAAAAUGGUAAUCAUGCUUCCCACACCACAUGUCAGGGAGAGCAGAUGGCAGUGUCAGCUCACAGUUCGCAUGAGUUUGGGGUGUACUUUUGAAGACUGAGUAAUGUCUUUUCUCUCCCUUCUCCAAAUUGCUAUUGUUAGACCUGAAAAAGCCUGUAAUAAAAUUUGGAAGCUACUGAGUUUAUGACAUCUCAACUUUACCCUCCAUUUCCACCCCAAAUGGCUUUUGAACUGACACUGAAUUGCUGCCUUAUUAAAUACCAUCCUGAGAACUUUACAGAACAUUUUAAGUGAUGCCGAGCUCCCAUGAGCUUCAAUCAUAAUGGAAGAGCCUGGGACCGUUGGUUGUCAGCUUUUUCUUGUCAUCUACAUGGGGACUGUCUGUGAGGGUGUGUCUGCUGGGUGAAGUGCCACACCUCGCUUCCGAGACGGGGCCUAGCUCGCUAAUCCAAGAGGGCUAGCAACAUUUGCAAACCAGGAAGAGGCAAGAGAGGACUUUCUUAACAGUAGCAGUUACUGGAGACCUAACUUCUGAGGGUUGCAGGUUGAAUUGUCCCUAAUUCCUGGGGAUGACAGGUUCCACUCUGCCCUGCCAGAUUAUGGGGACGCUCCCUGAAUUACAGUGGCAGCUGUUGGGUUCCACUGCUGCGACUCAUCUCUUCAGUCUUGUUGGCCUUGGAUCUCAGCCACCCGAGUUUCAGAAGGUGGUAAGCUGGCCAGUGUUCUUGGCCCCAGAACACGGUUGUGAUUGGUGCCAUGUUAAAUGCGAGUAGCAAUUAUGGCUGCCGAUUUGAAAGGAGGCUGAACACGCUGGCUUUCAUCGGGUCACCUUUGCUUGGCCACAUGAGACUUUCCACUUAGGAAAAUGAGGGCUGAAUUCUUGAUCCAGACAGGCUCUUUCAAGGUGUUGCGUUUCUGCUCUCAGAUAAGACAACCCUGUGAAGUUGGGUGCUUUCUGCACUGUCACUGAACUUGGUGCCCUGUGAAAGGAGAUUCUCUCUCUUUUUUUUUUUUUGAGAUGGAGUCUUGCUCUGUUGCCCAGGCUGGAGUGCAGUGACGCGAUCUCGGCUCAUGCAACCUCUGCCUCCCAGGUUCAAGUGAUUCUCCUGCCUCAGCCUCCCGAGUAGCUGGGGCUACAGGCAUGUGCCACCAUGCCUGGCUAAUUUUUUGUAUUUUUAGUAGAGACAGGGUUUCACUAUGUUGGCCAGGCUGGUCUCGAACUCCUGACCUCAUGAUCCGCCCGCCUCAGCCACGUAAAGUGCUGGGAUUACAGGUGUGAGCCACCAUGCCCGGCUGAAAGGAGAUUCUUAAAUACACAAAAUCCUUCACUCCAAGGGUUUAGAUUUUUUGCUCAGUUUUAGCUGCAGACUUUGCUCAGUUUAGAGCUACUAGGGCUUUAGUUUACUGUGCCAUAUUUGAAACUAAAAGUCUGAAUUAUGCUUUAUUUUUUGCAUGUGUUAUAGAUAGCACGUAAUGAAUAAGCACCCUCAGAAUACCUAGCACCAUGUUAGGGAAACACAACGCUGAGGCCUUGGUCGUUGUCCUCAGGAAACUCUCACUGUAUUUACGGUCCAAAAGGAGGUCCAAUAAAACAAGACUAUAUAUAAGCAUUAAAAUAUCUAUAGAAAGUCAGAGGAGAAACAGGUAGUUGUGGAUCUGUGUUUGUUGGAGAAGGCUUGAUUGGAAUGUGAGGUGGCCUUGAGGAAAGAGUGCAGAUUUCGAUUAAUUGGGAGAAGGAGAAAGGCCGGUAAGGCCAGGGGGGCUUGAACAAGGUUUGGUGGCAAGAAUCUGUGUAGUAUCCAUGGUGCUCUGCAAGUGGAUGAGCCCUCUCCAAGGGAAUCAUUAGGAGGGAGAUGAGCAGAUGGGAAGGACAAAGCAUUGGAGGACACCCAAUUGGGUUGGGUAGACAGGAUAUGUGCAUAGAAAGAGAUGAGCCAGACUGUUGUUUGUGCAAUUUAAAAUAUGAAGAGAAGAAAAGGGAAAAAAAAAAGAUAAGGGAUAUUUGGCAAUGUACCUUCAAAGCCAAAUGAAGGUUGCCAAUAAGAAGUGCUUCAGGACCUCAGCAGAGGAAGGAAACACCCAGGGCAGGAUUUGUAGAGGAUUGUUGAGGGGGAAUAGGUCUUAAGACAAGGGAAAGGAAGGGGGAGAGGCAGGAGAAAGGGAUGCAUGCAGAUAAAGGGGGCCUCAGAGCAAAGUUGACUCUAGAAGGGCUCUGGCUAUUCGGUGAAGGAGGAGAAGGGUAUUAUUCAACCAGGAAUGGGGCUGAAGACAAGGUGAGAAGGUCUUUAACUGUUGUUCUGGGGAAGGAGUCAGGGAGUGGAUGAAGGACAAAUACCAGGUUACUAAGUACCUGUCAGGGCCAAGCUGUAUUUGGAUGGCAGAAGCCACUGGUGGGCCAGGUCUAGGGGUCACAAGCCCUUCUCUAGGUGUGUUUGUAAUUCAAGCAGCCAGGAUUGGGUGUAGGUGGGGCUGGCUCAAAGAGGGCCUGGGAAGAUGAAGUCUUGGUUGCUGAUGAAGGCAGCAUUUAUACAGCUGAAUACAAGGUCUGCCAGACUUCAGAGAGGAUUCUUGGGAAAUUGGAGGAGACCUGCUGUGUUAGGUGUGGAGGUGGAGCUGGUCUCAUGCUGAUGAAGUCCUGGGAAGACCUUGAUUGGCCAACACAGAAAUGAGCUGAGGAAAAGAAAUAAGGGAAGUUGGAAGGAGAGUAUUUGUGAAGAAAGCAGAAUAUUAAGUAUUUUCUUUGAUACUUCUUUAUAUACAGGAAGCUAGGUUGUCAGCAGUAGCAAGAAUAACAUGACAAUGAUGAGAUAGCUAACUUAGAAGAUCUUGGAACAAACCAUUUUCCAAAUACCUCUGGGUUUUCUUUGUUCUCUAUCCAAACUCAUUUUAUUAAACACCCUUUGUUAAUAUUCUGAUAGAUUUUAUAGAGGUCAAAAGAGCAGGGAUUAGGCUUCGUUUGGAAACUCAGCUCCCUCAUUUCCUAACUCAUUAAAUGAGUCCAAGUAGGAAACAAGUGCAGAUAUAUUUGGAAGAUAUUAAAGAGACCUUGGGCAAAUUACCUAAUCUUUCACCCUUGGUUUUCUCAUAUGAUGACAGUGCCUUUCUGAUGGAGCCGUUAUGAAGGUAAACAUUAGGUUCCAACGCAUGGGAACUACAGUUGUGUUAAAAUGAGAAUUUCCCAGGAGUUCGUGUGUUUCAUUGUGAGGUGCUAUUCAGCUCUGUCUAUUUCCCUCACAUCUGUCCUUUCUCUUUCUCAUCCCCCACUCACUUAGUAAACAUGUCUGCUUGGACCAAUGAUUGGGAGUAUGGCGUGCUGAGCCCUGGUAACGGGAAGUAAGCCAGCAUUUUCAACAAGUUGCUAAUUAUACCACUUUUAAACACAAUAAGAGAAGAAGGAAUGAACCCCAUGAGCUGGGGCCACUUGGCAAGUCCCGAUGGUCUUCUUAGGCCAGUCAGGAUGUUUCUUAGACUCACAUCAGCCUUGAUGACGAUCUCCUCCCACAUCGACUGAGUCAGGGGUCGCUGUGUGCUGAGUAAUGCAGUCCUUUGCUGGGCGGGAAGUGGGCAGCACUCUGAAGGGACAUGAGAGUGGAUGACGGUGAAGCUGUGGGAAACUGCGGGGGAGCUGCACACGCCUGAUGCCUGUGUCAGAGCCACGCAGUCUCUGAGUCGUGUUCCCAAGCACAACUCACAUCUGUGAAGUACAUCAGGGAAAAUUAAAUAAGUCCAAGUAGGAAACAAGUUCAGAUAUAUUUGGAAGAUAUUAAAAAAAGGAAAAAAAAAAUCUCCAAAAGGCCUGAUCUCACCUUUCACUUUUUAUAGACAACAUUUUCCUUCUCUGGUUACAUCUUUUCUUGAGGUGUAUUAGCAACACUUUGUUCAUUUGACAGCCAUGAUAUUUCUUCUUUAGUAUUGUAUGUAGGGUGAAGUUCAAGUUCCUAGUUGCUCGACAAGUUCCAGUUCCUUGGCAUAGGGCAUAGAGGUCUGGCCAGGACUUUGUUUUCUCUAAUUCAAUUUGUCUAAAACACAAGAAAAGACUUUGUGGGCUGAGGCCGAGAAGUCGUGCUUCAUAUUUGCUUGAAUCUUUUGGCCUUACUUCACUGGCAGAGUCUGUGAAAGAACACAGGUUUACUUAAAAAAUAAUCUUAACUUAAGCCUUUCCAUUGUGUGAAUUUGACAAAGAAACUCGCCUUAUCUGGGUUGUCCCCCAUUUCUUUGCUUCUAUGAGGAACCCUGGAGACUUCCUGACUUUAAAAAGCAACCAAAAAUGAAUGUUAAGUUUUGGCAUGUAAAAGUUCUUUGGUAUACAUUUUGCCAGACACGGAUGUUGCAAAACUGUUUACUGAGGUAUAAUUUUGGUGCUUCUAUGUAGGAAGGGGAGGAAAAGGGUUAUUUAUUAAAAGUUCUAUAUAGGCAUCUCUUGCUAUUUGACCUCUUGCCAUCCAAAGUCUUUCCCUCAGAACUCAGGAGGCAAGUGGAUUCAGAUAAACUCAGCACUUUCUGAAAUUUCAAUUUUUGUUUUCUGAAACUCAGGAGCCAAAUAGAUUUUUUCCUCUCCAAACCCAUUACCCAAACACUCACCAUCAGAACUUAGGAAUCAACUAAGUUUGGAUAACAAGACAUACUUUUCCCUUCUUCCUGUUUAUUAGAACCCACUCAUUGCUUGUAGAAUAUUAGGAAAAGUACAGAAAAGAGUAAAGGUAACAAAAAUGACUCAUUGUCAGAGGUAUAAUUCCAAACACUAAUUUUCUGGUAAUGGUUUAUGUCAGGGAGUGAGGAAUAUACUCCCUUUGUCUCUUCCACAUCCUCUUCACCCUCCCCAACUCAGAAACAUUCAGAAUCCAUGGAAAUUUCAAAAAAGUAGUUGGUCAGUAGCCAUGAAUGUUGGUUGGGUUGCCUGUUUCUGUCUGGCCAGCAUGUACUGUCUGCAUUGAGGGCUUUGUGUUGCCAGCCUUCUGCACUUGAAUUUGGAUUCGGCCACCAAGCCUUCUCUUGGUGGCCAGCUUCCUGCAGGUCUUCCCAGGCACUGGGGGAUAGUCUGCUAGCAUGGUUUUUCAGGGUGACAUUUGAAGCCACAGGAUCUGUGAAAAUGUUGUGAUCGAUCGUUGACAGUGUCUCAUCUCCCUACUGAUAGACAAGGAUAAAAAUGCCUGGUUGAAAUACUGCUUGAAAAUCUAAGCAUAAGGAAGGUCAGAAAUGAAAAUGAUGUAGAACUGAUGGCACACGUUGACUUAAAAAAAAAAAACACGCAUUUUCCUUCAAGUUCUCAAAAAAUAAGCACCACUGCUAUCUGGUGUCCGACUGAGUGUGGGAGGAAAACAAAGGCAGAUGCAGUUGAUUAAGUCCAAGGCUUCUUUAUGCAACACUGCCAUGGCCAGUUUCCCUACUGCACUUAUUUUCUCUAAAUAAGCUUCCUCAGUUUCUUCUUCACUGCUUCUUGGGGAUGCAGCCACAAGGAAAGAGGCAGGGAAUGGAGACUCCAGUCAAAUGUGAGGUAAUGUAGCUGGGGUGCAAAGGCAGCUCUCAAUCCAAUAUGUCUGCCUGCUUCCUGCUUCUGACCACAAAUGUUCAUCCCGGCUAUGAUUCUCUCCAAAGCAGCUCUGUUUGCAAACAUUUCUCUCAUCUGGCAUUUUGCAAAUGGCAUCAAUUCUGACAGUUGCUUCGUUCCUGGCUAAGGCUCAGGUCAUCAUUUGGUAUCUAGAAGGGAAUUCGAAAACGUUGCCUCUUCAGAGCUGAUGAACCUUCUGGGCAAGGAGGGCAGAUAGCGCCCACAUGUGAAGAAGAGGCAGCUCCCUCCAGUCAGAUGUGGCUCUGCUCAAGGCCGAAAGAGGACUUGGCUUCAGAUCCUACUUGUGCCCUUUUGCAGUUUAUGGACUGCACAGUCAUACAGGGCAGACCAGUUAGGGUAACUGAGCACUUGAAAGAAGACAUUCUGGAUGAAAUUCUGGUGGUGCAUAGACACCUAUCUUGCAUGGAGCUCUGAGCACCCUGCUGCACUCUCAUGAUUCCUCUGUACUCAGAGCAGAAUGUUGGCAUCAUAGACAAGCAAACAGAAGCCCAACGAGAGAAAUUACUUACCUGGAAGACCAUGUACAUCAGCGGCCCUGCCAAGACCAGAUCCCUGGUCCUUUAACUGUUCUAUAAAUCGCCAGUAGAACUUGACUGAAAUUUAAUUUAGUUUUCAACCCUUGGCAAACCGGAUACCGCGUGUUUGUGUAGGCUCAUGCCAUUUAAAAGGUUCUUGGAGUUUAGGUCUUGCAUGUAAUUUGCUACAUUAGCUCUGGGCAAAAAUAUUUGCUUUUUGGUCCUUUGUGGUUUAAGUUCCUUCUCAGCAUUGACCUGGCAUGUUAGAGAGAGCUGCACUGUGGAACGCAGCAGGGGGUGGAGAGUUUAGGGAGAGUGAGUGCAGUAAUGCUUAUUAGUGAUGGCAGCUUUUCAGACUGUGGGAGCUCACAUGAGAUUUUCCCAGUUAGGUUGUUUGUUUAUGUAUUUGGAUUAUGACACAAGUCAGAUUAGAAAGCUGAUGCAGAUCAAACGAAGCCUUUUAGAUUUGGAUUAAGCUUGGGAAAUUUUCUCUCCUAAGAUAUUAGAUUAAGAGUAUCAUGAUGAUUUUGUCAUUGUUGUUCAAAGUGACAGUCAUACUAUUGUAAUUGUUCCAACACCUCCAAGUUUGGCCGUCUUUGGCGUGAAUAGACCCAGGAUGGGUUAUUUCAAUCAAAAAUUCGGGGGCUGGGCAUGGUGUCUCACACCUGUAAUCCCAGCACUUUGGGAGGCCGAGGCAGGCAGACCACGGUUUGAGACCAGCCUGACCAACAUGGUGAAACCCUGUCUCUCUUAAAAACACAAAAAUUAGCUAGGUGUGGUGGCGCGUGUCUGUAAUCCCAGCUACUAGGGAGGCUGAGGCAGGAGAACUGCUUGAGCUCGGGAGGCAGAGGUUGCAGUGAGCCAAGAUCACACCACGGCACUCCAGCCUGGGCAGUGGAGCAAGACUCCAUCUUGAAAGAGUGGCUGUCUUCUUGGAUUCUCUAGGUUAAUCAUUUCAACAUUAGAGAAUGGAUCGCCUACUAAUUAUAUCGAAUCACUAUAUAUUCUUUUGGGAUGAUAAAUAAGAGGCAGAUAUUAUGCUCCCAUUUUACAAGAGAGACGACUGAGGCACAGGAAAAGGAAGUAACUGGUUGAGUCAUAUGACAAAUCUCGAAGCAGUACCAUUCUGGGGAUAGCCUAUGAGGAUAAAUUCUGCACCUAUACUAAUUUUCAGCAGUGUACUCUCUCUCUCUCUCUCUUGCUCUCUCUUUCUCUCUCGCUCUUUAAUACUAAGGCUAAUACUUUUGUCUUGGAAGACUGUGAAGCUCUUUUUUCCCUGUCCUGCUCCAUUGCCAGCCUCUUAGUUGAAUUUUCAAUCCUAGUGUACAUGCACUGGAAUGACACUUUAUGGGAGGUUUAGUUUCUAAAGUCAGCAUGGAAGGUAAGAAUCUAUUAUAUUUUUAAAAAUUCACUCUUAAAAAGUGAAUUCACUUUUUAAGUGAAUCUAUUUUUAAGAAUCUAUUAUAUUUUUAAAAAUUCACUCUUAAAAAGCUGCCCAUUUUGUGCAGCUUGCAUAGUUUACUCUAUUGUUAUACACAAAAACAUACCAUAGUUAAGACUAUGUAAGGAGUAUGUAAUUUUCCAGUGCCAUAUCCUUAAACAUUAGUAUCUCGGCAAGAGGCUCUGAGAGAUAAGCAGGAACAAAAAUUGAUUCAGGGCAGAAUAGAUUCACAUCUCACAUCUCCUGCUCACUCCGGUACAUUUGCUCACUAAGUGAAAUGGUUGGUAGAAUCGCCACGUAACUGGAAAAUUUCUUCCCUCUCCUCUCUCUCCUUACACUGACCCUGUGUGCUUCUCUCUCUCUAUUUUUCUCUCUGUAAUAGACGUACUUAAAUUUGUGUAAGUUAAAUAUGCAUGUGGUGUCGUUUUACUGUAUGUUUCACAAAUGACAGCUGUAAGUCAAUGAAUAUCAUUGUGAAAUAUAAGAAAAGGAAAAGAAAAAAGGAAGCUUGUUUUUCAGCACUCAGCAGGAAAACACACUGUUGGACUUUAUGUUUCUUUUGGAAUAUGGGUUUACUGUUAAAGCUAAAUUAAUAGUUUACAUGGUAAGCCAAUAAGAUCAAUGUCCUUUUGGAAAAACAAGGCUAAUAUUCUAGUCUGGGAUGCACUAAGCCGGAAAAGCAUGAGUUACAAGUAAGUUUAACACAUUAAAAAGCAUCUUGGGGAGAAUUCUUGAAUUUACACAACUAAGUAUAUAUAACAGAGUCUUUACAUCUAAACCCCAUUUUAUCAGGCCAGGCCAUUUGUCAGCACAUCUCUUCUUAGUUACCCCCAAGGCAUCCAUACUUUACAGCAAGGAGUGAUGGCAACAGCUGGGGGCGGGAACUUCAAAGAAGUACCAGACCCGUAGGCCCCAUGUGGUGGCUCACGCCUGUAAUCCCAGCACUUUGGGAGGCCGAGGCAGGUGGAUCACUUGAGGUCAGGAGUUCGAGACCAGCUUGGCCAACGUGGUGAAACCCCAUCUCUACUGAAAAUACAAAAAUUAGCCUGGCGUGGUGGCACAUGUCUAUAAUCCCAGCUACUUGGGAGGCUGAGGCAGGAGAAUUGCUGGAACCUGGGAGGCGGAGGUUGUGGUGAGGCAAGAUUGCCCCAAUGCACUCCAGCUGGGGUGUCAAAGUGAGACUUUGUCUCAAAAAAAAAAAAAAAUCCCAUUCUGGAAAAAAAUCCUCUCUGAAGCUACCAUCAACACCAUCUGGGUUGGUUAGUUGUUUAUUUUCUCUCUGAGCUUUUUCUGAUUUCCCCUGCUAUUUUUUACUUCAUGAUGCUAACCCCUAUAGACCCUAUUCCCAAACGAUCUUGCCAGGGGUUUUACAGCUGGGUUUGGCCAAGAGAGUCAUAGGAAGGUAGGAGAAUGGGAGAAGCCAAGGUAUUUAUCCCUCUUGUUUCCUGCUUGGGAGAGUGUAUUUGUGGGUAGCUGAGUCUCAUCUGUUCUAGCUGUUAUGGAACAAUCCCUCCUGCUGGACCAGCCCGGAUGUGGGCAUGGGUAACAUCACCUCCUUCCUUUAUUUCCUCAGUCCUAGAAGGGGUUGUGACUUUUUGACAUUGUCAAUCUAUGGGCUGCCUUACAAUCUCAUUUGGGUUUUGUGUGUGUUUAAAAAAUUAAAAUUGACAAUAAAAAUCAUAUGUAUUUAUGGCAUACAACAUAAUGUUUUAGUAUUUGUAUGCAUUGUGGAAUGGCUAAAUCAAGCUAAUUAACAUAUGCAUUACCUCACACACUUAUCUUUUUUUGAUACCUUUGCUGCAAGAGCCCCAUAUUAAAUUUUCUUGGUUGAGCUAGCUGAUGUGGACUAUGUUUUGUUGUUGUUGCUGUUUGUCAUGUUCCAGCCUCCAUUGUGGAUCUUGUUCUUGGCCUGAUGGGUUUUUCCCUAGGUCUGACCUCACAUUUAACCAACCCUUUGCUCCUCAUGUACAUCCUUCUAUUGUUUCCUGGACUCAACCUUGAUGCUUGGAUCCCACUUGUUCUCUCAGUGGCUUUGAUGCUUCAGCUCCCUCCUGCAAACUUUUGUCUCUGUGCGUGUGUGCGAGUCCAUUUUGCGUCACUAUAAAGGAAUACCUGAAACUGAGUAGCUUAUAAAUAAAAGAGGUUUAAUUGGCUCAUGGUUCUGCAAACUGUACUGGAAGCAUUGUGCUGGCAUCUGCUUGACUUCUAGUGAGGCUUCAGGAGGCUUUCAAUCAUGGUGGAAGGUAAAAAGGAGCAGGUGUGUCAUGUGAUGGGAGUGGGAGCAAGAGAGAGAGAGGGGAGGUGCCACACUCUUUUAAAUAAUCAAUUCUCAUGUGAACUCAGAGCGAGAACUCACUCAUCACCAAGGGUAUAGCACUAAGCCAUUCAUAAGCAAUCCGCCCCCAUGAUUCAAUACCUCCCACUAGGCCCUACCUCCCACAUUGGAGGUCACAUUUCAACUUGAGAUUUGGAGGGGACAAACAUCCAAACCAUAUCAGGGAGUAAGAAAUUGUCUGACAUAUGAGAUACUGGAUUUUACAAACACAAGAGUCCUUAGAUAUUUGACCCAACUUCCUAUUUUCAUCCAUGAGGUUGCUGCUGCUUAGAAUGGGUAAUGACUUCCUCAAGAUUGCCAAGUUAAUGGCAGGGAGGGAAAAGGAAAGGAAGUUUCAUGUCUAGGUAAACGUCAUAUCACUUUAUUUACUGUAACAUGUGACAGGGAUUGGGGACACGAAGAUUGAGAUAUUGAUUACCCUAUGACCCUCCUCAUUGCCUGUCCUUUGCCUUUGAGCAAACGUUUUGCACUGAGUGGACAGAAAUAUUAAUUCAUUCAACUCAUAUUUAUUGAUUGUCACAAAGGGCAAGGCUCUAUGCUGAACACUUUGGAAAGGACACAUAUGAAUAGAAAAUGAUCCACAUCCUCAGGAAACUCUCUAGAAAGGAGUACAGCCUAUAGGCCAGUGAUUCAUAUGUAUGUUGCAUAUGUUACAUACAAAAGAGAAAACAAUAAGCUCCACAGAAAGUAAGCAAAUAAAGUGUUAUUUGCAUGUGGAGGAGAAAGUUGCUUCUGGCUUGGCAGUAUUAGAGAAGACAUAAUAGAGCAGGUAGUAUUUAAAAUGGACAGGGGCUGGGAACGCUGGCUCACUUCUGUAAUUCUAGCACUUUAGG
rnacentral:lncRNA from 1 species